rnacentral:lncRNA from 1 species
GGGUGAAUAGGCGAGUUGACCAAUUUGUAAAACUUCAACCCACUCAGCAGCACUGCCCAGGGCAAAUCGGUCAGAUCGGUUCACCAGACUAGUCCGGUCCAGGCAGGGUGGCACACCAAGUGCUACUCAAGUCCCUCCUUGACUUCUAGCACCAACCAAACUUGGAGAGUGGCUUUUAUAGAUAAUUUCCCGACAGGGAAAAGUAGUCCCUGCACAC